GUAUGAGUAAAUAUAUAAAACUAUCCACUUUCAUAUUGUAAAGAUAAAAAUUAUCCACUAAGAUAAAAAUAAUAAAAACUGUCCACUUUUUAAUUGAAAAGACAGAAAUACCCCUCCCCUAAAAAUAAAAAUUUCUCUCAAUCGUCGGAUACUCUCUCUCCCUUCUUCUCCCUCUUUCUUUCUCUCUCUCUCUCUCUCUCUCUCUCUCUCUCUCUCUUUCAUCUCUCUCUUCACUCUCUUCUCUCUCAGUUCUCUGCUGCCCCGUCGCCGCCCUCUGAUUCUCGGCGAGCAGCGGUUACAAGGCUGCCACCACUGCGAUUCUGGGUCGCUUGAGGCCAAGCAGUCCAUCGCCGGAAAAAAUGGCCUCUCUUACCAAUCUCGCCCCCCUCUGCUCCAGCUGACAGCAGCAGUCAGCCGGACCGCCGCCAUCGCCGCCUCCCUCCUCCUCUGAUUCUUUGAACGGCAGCCACAGCCAACCGGACCGCCGCCGUCAACAGCAGCAGCAGCUCUGCUGACUCCUCUCCGAACAACAGUAGCACCACCCAUCUCUUUCUCUCUUGACCGACGGACAGCAGGAGUCACAGGCCGCCUCCACCGCCGCCACCGGUCCUCCCCCUCCUUAUGUCGCCCUCAUAAAACCAGCCGGAGCCCUCCCCCUCCCCAGACUCACGCGCACACACACAGCCCCAAGUUUGUGUUUUUUUUCAGUUCUUUAAUAACAUUAUUAGAAAUGCAGAAAGCAAACAUAUUAUGCAAGAUGAUGUAUCUCUAUAUGGUGAAGAGAGCAAACCUUAAGAAGGUUUCUACUAUUUGUGUCCGUAGGAAUUGGAUUCCAAGUCUGGAAUUCUGCAGAAAUUCUGCUAUGAUGGGAUUUUGAUGCUAAUUUGCAGAAGUCUGAAUUGUGAUUAUUGAUUUUGUCAUGUCUGUGUAUGGCUUCGUUUAGAGGAUGGAGAUCAUGAGUUGAUGAUUGAGCUUUUAUUUAUGGAGAUUUAUGGAGAUUGUGUGGAGAUUGUGUGAAUGAUUUUUGUUCUAAGAUCUGUUGAGAUUGUUCGGAGAUUGAAUGUUGAGAUUGUUGAUUCGAAGGAAUUGUUGUAUUUUAAUUGUAGAUUGAAUUGUUUCGAAUAAUAUUUUUGUUGUAUUUUGAUUGUUGAUUUAGAUAAAUUGAUGUAUUUUGAUGGUA